rnacentral:rRNA from 1 species
GACGAACGCUGGCGGCGUGCUUAACACAUGCAAGUCGAACGGAAAGGCCCUGCUUUUGUGGGUUGCUCGAGUGGCGAACGGGUGAGUAACACGUGAGUAACCUGCCCUUGACUUUGGGAUAACUUCAGGAAACUGGGGCUAAUACCGGAUAGGAUCUCCUGCUGCAUGGUGGGGGUUGGAAAGUUUCGGCGGUUGGGGAUGGACUCGCGGCUUAUCAGCUUGUUGGGGGGGUAGUGGCUUACCAAGGCUUUGACGGGUAGCCGGCCUGAGAGGGUGACCGGCCACACUGGGACUGAGAUACGGCCCCGACUCCUACGGGAGCGAGCAGUGGGGAAUAUUGCCCAAGGGGCGGAAGCCUGAUGCAGCAGCGCCGCGUGCGGGAUGACGGCCUUAGGGUUGUAAACCGCUUUCGCCUGUGACGAAGCGUGAGUGACGGUAAUGGGUAAAGAAGCCCCGGCUAACUACGUG